rnacentral:rRNA from 1 species
GAUGAACGCUGGCGGCGUGCUUAACACAUGCAAGUCGAACGAAGCACCUUGAUUUGAUUCUUCGGAUGAAGAUCUUGGUGACUGAGUGGCGGACGGGUGAGUAACGCGUGGGUAACCUGCCUCAUACAGGGGGAUAACAGUUAGAAAUGACUGCUAAUACCGCAUAAGACCACAGCACCGCAUGGUGCAGGGGUAAAAACUCCGGUGGUAUGAGAUGGACCCGCGGCAGAUUGGUAGUGGGUGGGGUAACCGCCUACCAAGCAUACGAUCAGGAGCCGACCUGAGAGGGUGACCGGACACAUUGGGACUGAGACACGGCCCAAACUCCUACGGGAGGCAGCAGUGGGGAAUAUUGCACAAUGGGGGAAACCCUGAUGCAGCGACGCCGCGUGAGCGAUGAAGUAUUUCGGUAUGUAAAGCUCUAUCAGCAGGGAAGAAAAUGACGGUACCUGACUAAGAAGCACCGGCUAAAUACGUGCCAGCCGCCGCCGUAA